CGCUUUGUGCAGCGGCAGCAUCGCAGCCAAUGAGGUUAAUCCGAGGUGUGAUUAUUGCUAAAAAUAUUGGUCAGUGUGAGGUUCGUGGUUGGACUGGAUGAUCUUCAAGGCCUUUUCAACCCAGAUGAUUCUGGGAUUCUGUGAAAGCUUGCACCUAAG
ensembl:snRNA U4 U4 spliceosomal RNA